rnacentral:lncRNA from 1 species
CCUUGCCCUAGAAACGGCGUGAACGGGAAAUGCAGCAGGAGAUGCUGCUCCGAGAUGAAGAGACCAUGGAGCUACGUGGUACCUACUCGUCCCUGCAGCAGGAGGUGGAAGUUAAAACCAAGAAACUCAAGAAGCUCUAUGCCAAGCUACAGGCGGUGAAGGCAGAGAUCCAGGACCAACAUGAGGAGUACAUCCGCGUGCGGCAGGACCUGGAGGAGGCGCAGAAUGAGCAGACCCGGGAACUCAAGCUCAAGUACCUCAUCAUUGAGAACUUCAUCCCCCCUGAGGAGAAGAACAAGAUCAUGAACCGGCUUUUCCUGGACUGUGAGGAGGAGCAGUGGAAGUUCCAGCCCCUGGUGCCAGCUGGAGUGAAUAACAGCCAAAUGAAGAAGCGUCCAACUUCUGCAGUGGGCUACAAGAGACCUAUCAGCCAGUAUGCUCGGGUUGCCAUGGCAAUGGGGUCCCAUCCCAGAUACAGGGCUGAAAAUAUAAUGUUUUUGGAACUGGAUGUAUCCCCGCCGGCCAUCUUUGAGAUGGAAUUUUCUCAUGACCAAGAACAAGAUCCACGAGUACUACACAUGGAGAGGCUCAUGCGGUUGGACAGCUUUCUGGAGAGACCUUCCACGUCUAAAGUGCGAAAGUCGAGAUCCUGGUGCCAGAGUCCUCAGCGGCCUCCACCACCCUCCACAGUUCAUGCCUCCAUGGCCUCUGCUCCUCUGCACCCUGCAACAGUGGUAGACCAUGACUGACACCCUUCAGUCAGGCUGCCCAUCACAAAGACUCCUAGGACAGGGCAGCCAUCCCUGGUUCAUCCCAUCUGAUGCUUGGUGCGCGCGUGUGUGGGGUGUGUAUGCAUGUGUGUGUGUGUGAACUAGUGUGUGUACUAGUGUGUGUGAAGGGGCAAGAAACUGGCAGGUGGUGCCUCUGCCUGUUCUCCGGGCCUCCUUUAUUUAAUUCUGUUAUUUAUUCGUGGAGCUUGGUUAGUGAGGAGAGAUUCCCCUUGCUUGAGCUGCCUGGGCCUGCCAUGGUCACUGCAUAGCUUCCUGUUCUGGCUGAGGAGAGACCUCAGUCAGGCCCCAAGCUCCUCACGUCAGCUGCCCCUGAGGGAAGAUGGCUAGUGCCUGAGAAGACAGUGCUUCCUUUACCCGUCCAAGUUCACAGUUUCCAUCUUCUUGUCUGAUGGUGAGCAGCCCCUGAUGCUUUCUGAGGCUGGGAAACUGCGGGUGUCCACUGAGGGCAAGAGGUGUCCUAACAGUGUUGGGCUUGCACUCCUGGUGGACUGAGCCUUGCUCACCUCUUCCUGGGCCCUAAACUCUUCGAGCCUCCAGGGCUCUUUCCCAAGGACUUUCAGUAGCCUAAUACUCAUCCCAGGCUCUCCGGCCUUGGCAAGAACUCGUGGCUUCCCCAACUCCACUUCAUUGCCAGCCCUCUCUACCCUGGGAUUGGAAAUUGUGAACCAAACAGUUGUUGCUACCACGAGACCUACAGGAAGUGGAACAGUGUGGAAAACGCAUGGAAUGUCAUCAGGGGCACUCUCUCCUCAGUUCCUCUGGUUUCCUUCUCUCCUCCAAGAAGUUCCUUUGGAGAACAAACCAUCAGACUCCCUCUCCUCAUGUGAGGUGUAGCUUUUCCUGCUCUGAUCACUGUUCCCUGAAGCUGUCAGGUCUCAGUCCACAGUGGAAAGAAUCGGUGUCAUUCCGCCCCUUACUAAACGCAGAUAACAAAAUCCUUCGCUUUGUGCCUCCAGCUAAUACAAGAAACAAACCCAGGCCCAGUCUUUGCCAGAGUCACCUUUGACCCCUAUUUCUUAGUCACAUCUUGGGGUGGGGGGGCACUAUUUUGUUGAAAAUCAAUCCAUUCUUUACUACUUGUGUGACUUGGUCCUUCCUCACCUUCCUUUGUGACCACCCCAAAUGUCUCUGGGUAUUGCAAGUGAUAAGUAAAUUUCUAUUUUAAAAAGUUAAUUUUCAUUGACCUUUAUUUUUUACAUGCAAGAUAAAACUUA